UGUGUCCUACGGGAGGCAGCAGUGGGGAAUAUUGCACAAUAGGGGAAACCCUGAUGCAGCGACGCCGCGUGAGUGAGGAAGUAUUUCGGUAUGUAAAGCUCUAUCAGCAGGGAAGAAAAUGACGGUACCUGACUAAGAAGCCCCGGCUAACUACGUGCCAGCAGCCGCGGUAAUACGUAGGUGGCGAGCGUUGUCCGGAAUUACUGGGUGUAAAGGGAGUGUAGGCGGGGAAGCAAGUCAGAAGUGAAAACUUU
rnacentral:rRNA from 1 species